UGGGGAAUUUUCCGCAAUGGGGGAAAGCCUGACGGAGCAAUACCGCGUGAGGGAGGAAUGCCUUUGGGUUGUAAACCUCUUUUCUCAGGGAAGGAGAUCUGACGGUACCUGAGGAAUAAGUAUCGGCUAACUCCGUGCCAGCAGCCGCGGUAAUACGGAGGAUGCAAGCGUUAUCCGGAAUCAUUGGGCGUAAAGCGUCCGCAGGUGGUUUCCAAAGUCUGCUGUUAAAGACUGGAGCUCAACUCCGGAACGGCGGUGGAAACUUGGAAACUAGAGUUCGGUAGGGGUAGCAGGAAUUCCCAGUGUAGCGGUGAAAUGCGUAGAUAUUGGGAAGAACAUCGGUGGCGAAGGCGUGCUACUGGACCGUAACUGACACUCAGGGACGAAAGCUAGGGGAGCGAAAGGGAUUAGAUACCCCUGUAGUCCUAGCUGUAAACGAUGGAAACUAGGUGUGGCU
rnacentral:rRNA from 1 species